GGACGAACGCUGGCGGCGCGCUUAACACAUGCAAGUCGAGCGAGAACCGGGACUUCGGUCCCGGGGACAGCGGCGAACGGGUGAGUGACACGUGGGUAAUCUGCCCUCGAUUCUGGGAUAGCCCGGGGAAACCCGGAUUAAUACCGGAUAGCCUUUCGAGCCUUCGGGCGCGAAAGAAAAGGUAGCUUCGGCCUCCGAUCGAGGAUGAGCCCGCGGUGGAUUAGCUUGUUGGUGAGGUAAUGGCUCACCAAGGCGACGAUCCAUAGCUGGUCUGAGAGGACGAUCAGCCACACUGGGACUGAGACACGGCCCAGACUCCUACGGGAGGCAGCAGUGGGGAAUCUUGCGCAAUGGGCGAAAGCCUGACGCAGCGACGCCCGCGUGGGGGAAGAAGGCCUUAGGGUUGUAAACCUCUUUCAGGCGGGACGAGGCCACUCGGGUUAAUAGCCCAGAGGGUGACGGUACCGCCAGAAGAAGCCCCGGCUAACUACGUGCCAGCAGCUGC
rnacentral:rRNA from 1 species